rnacentral:rRNA from 1 species
CCUACGGGAGGCAGCAGUGGGGAAUCUUGCGCAAUGGGCGAAAGCCUGACGCAGCCAUGCCGCGUGAAUGAUGAAGGUCUUAGGAUUGUAAAAUUCUUUCAGUAGGGACGAUAAUGACGGUACCUACAGAAGAAGCCCCGGCUAACUUCGUGCCAGCAGCCGCGGUAAUACGAAGGGGGCUAGCGUUGCUCGGAAUUACUGGGCGUAAAGGGAGCGUAGGCGGGUUAUCAAGUUGGAGGUGAAAGCCCAGGGCUCAACCUUGGAAUUGCCUUCAAAACUGAUAGCCUAGAGUAUGAUAGAGGUAUGUGGAACUCCGAGUGUAGAGGUGAAAUUCGUAGAUAUUCGGAAGAACACCAGUGGCGAAGGCGACAUACUGGGUCAUGACUGACGCUGAGGCUCGAAAGCGUGGGGAGCAAACAGGAUUAGAUACCCUGGUAGUCCACGCUGUAAACGAUGAUUGCUAGUUGUCGGACGGCAUGCCGUUCGGUGACGCNGCUACGACAUAAGACAUCCGCCGUCGGGAGGUACGGUCGCGAGAGUUAAACUACGAAGAAGUAGACGGCGUGAGACGUGCCGACGGACGACGACGAGGGAGGAGG